CACAUCGUGCCAUAGCCUCACCAUCAUGUACGAUGCUAAAGAGGGGCUCAGGUGCAGCCCGGCUGUGGUUCGACAGUACGCUUGAACACUAAGGCCGUGAGGCUAAUCAGCGGGAUGCACGGGCCCCAUGAGUAGCAGGACAUGAGGUGUACACUACUGGAGGCAGAUGCUGCUGGAAGGCUGUUGGCCGGCGGCAGCCCGAGCGGUGCCCUUAGGAUGCGCAGGUCUGUGGCCAACACUAGCCAAACAAGUACAUCUCUGAUCUCUCUCUUUUGCUAGCUAUCUCUUCUACUAAACAUCUAUUGUUAUUUGGAUGACUGGAUGACUGGAUGCACAACCACAUAGGUUGUUCGACGCAUGCUCUAACAUGUGAUGAUUGAUUUUAUGCAUCUUCUGUGAGCACUUGCUAAAAUAAUUAAUACAUUGGAAUGCUUCGAAUCCAAAUGUAUAAGUUUACUUGAACGACGUAGUUGAUUGGACUUUGGAGUGCAUAUUUGGUUGAUUCCAACAUUAAUUUUAGUGAACUAGCUGGGCAUCAUUUCAACUGCUAUAGUUGUGAUAAAAUUAUAGUGAACUUAUCAACCAAAACAAACUAUAGUUAAUUUUAAGGUUAAAAGGUCAUCAUCUUGUAGAUUAGAGAUGGAGCUUUUCUAUGCUAAGUACUUGCUGAAAUGCAUUUUACCUUAAUUUUUAUUUAAUUCAUCUUAUUUCAGAGUGAACACGGUAGAGUUUAGAGUUUUCCUUCGAAUUUGAGGCAUAUUGAAGUAGGACUUGGACGCCAUCGAGGAAUCGUAAAGGCGAUCAGCCAAAUAUGCUCUACUGAUGACAAGGAUGCUGGAGUGGCAGUAGAGCCACUCGCCACGGGCUUCCAACAUUGGCAGUCGCACCACCACGUCUCUCUUGUCGCCUUCUUGCUGAUCUUCAGCCCCAUAGCAAUUUUUUUAUAUUUUAAGGACCACGGGCAUUUGGAUCGCUAGCUAUAACUUUUAUUGUACUGUACUAAUUGCUAUGAUAAAAUCCAUGUCAUUGUACUGUACUAAUUAGUACUCUACUAUAAAGAUGAUAAUCACAUCAAUCUAAGUUUACCGGGUGGUGCUUCUUUAUAUAUAUU
rnacentral:lncRNA from 1 species